CCUACGGGUGGCAGCAGUGGGGAAUAUUGCACAAUGGGCGCAAGCCUGAUGCAGCCAUGCCGCGUGUGUGAAGAAGGCCUUCGGGUUGUAAAGCACUUUCAGCGGGGAGGAAGGCGGUGAGGUUAAUAACCUCAGCGAUUGACGUUACCCGCAGAAGAAGCACCGGCUAACUCCGUGCCAGCAGCCGCGGUAAUACGGAGGGUGCAAGCGUUAAUCGGAAUUACUGGGCGUAAAGCGCACGCAGGCGGUCUGUCAAGUCGGAUGUGAAAUCCCCGGGCUCAACCUGGGAACUGCAUUCGAAACUGGCAGGCUAGAGUCUUGUAGAGGGGGGUAGAAUUCCAGGUGUAGCGGUGAAAUGCGUAGAGAUCUGGAGGAAUACCGGUGGCGAAGGCGGCCCCCUGGACAAAGACUGACGCUCAGGUGCGAAAGCGUGGGGAGCAAACAGGAUGAGAUACCCCUGUAGUC
rnacentral:rRNA from 1 species